AAGACCUUGCACUUUUGGAGCGGCCGAUGUCUGAUUAGCUAGUUGGUGGGGUAAUGGCCUACCAAAGCUUCGAUCAGUAGCUGGUCUGAGAGGACGGCCAGCCACACUGGGACUGAGACACGGCCCAGACUCCUACGGGAGGCAGCAGUGGGGAAUUUUGGACAAUGGGCGCAAGCCUGAUCCAGCCAUGCCGCGUGAGUGAAGAAGGCCUUCGGGUUGUAAAGCUCUUUCAGCCGGGAAGAAAAGGUUGCGACUAAUAAUCGCAAUCCAUGACGGUACCGAGAGAAGAAGCACCGGCUAACUACGUGCCAGCAGCCGCGGUAAUACGUAGGGUGCGAGCGUUAAUCGGAAUUACUGGGCGUAAAGGGUGCGCAGGCGGUUUUGUAAGUCAGAUGUGAAAUCCCCGGGCUUAACCUGGGAACU
rnacentral:rRNA from 1 species